rnacentral:lncRNA from 1 species
UGAAGUAUAACUGAAGGUGAGGAUGCCGACCUUUCCCACAUACUGGUGGACAGUGGUGUACUCCUGAUAUACUGUGUUAACUCACAGCGGAGUAGAACAUAAGCAGUGCCUCAGCCAGACACACACUACAACUUUGGGAAUAGACCUGUUGGGUUGUAAAAAUGCCCAAAAUGAUGUCAACGGAAAGGUGACAUUUCAGUCUAUGGGUGAAUGAGAGAGUGAGUGGGUGAAUAAUAGAGUGAGUGGGUG